rnacentral:rRNA from 1 species
CCCUUAGAUGUCCUGGGCCGCACGCGCGUUACACUGAUGCAUUCAACGAGCUUAUAACCUUGGCCGAGAGGCCUGGGCAAUCUUGUUAACGUGCAUCGUGAUAGGGAUAGAUUAUUGAAAUUAUUAAUCUUGAACGAGGAAUUCCUAGUAAACGCAGAUCAUCAAUCUGCAUUGAUUACGUCCCUGCCCUUUGUACACACCGCCCGUCGCACCUACCGAUUGGAUGGUCCGGUGAAGCCUCGGGAUUGUGGUUCUUGCCGCUUUGUUGUGGCGUGACCGCGAGAACUUGUCUAAACCUUAUCAUCUAGAGGAAGGUGAAGUCGUAACA